AAUAUUCAAAAAACCUUGCCUGGAUCGGGUUUCGCGGCGAACGGGCUUCCACCAUGAUGAAUAGCAGUUCGUUGUCGACGAAACCUGCACAUUGCAAGGCAUAUGACAUCG
rnacentral:pre_miRNA from 11 species